rnacentral:misc_RNA from 1 species
GAUGAAGAACGUAGCGAAAUGCGAUAAGUAAUGUGAAUUGCAGAAUUCAGUGAAUCAUCGAAUCUUUGAACGCACAUUGCGCCCGCCAGUAUUAUGGCGGGCAUGCCUGUUCGAGCGUCAUUUCAACCAUCAAGCCCCCGGCUUGUGUUGGGGACCUGCGGCUGCCGCAGGCCCUGAAAACCAGUGGCGGGCUCGCUAGUCACUCCGAGCGUAGUAAUACAUCUCGCUCAGGGCGUGCUGCGGGUUCCGGCCGUUAAAAAGCCUUAUUUACCCAAGGUUGACCUCGGAUCAGGUAGGAAGACCCGCUGAACUUAAGCAUAUCAAUAAGCGGAGGA